GAUCAUGGCUCAGGAUGAACGCUAGCUACAGGCUUAACACAUGCAAGUCGAGGGGCAUCGAGAGGAAAGCUUGCUUCCUUGUCGGCGACCGGCGCACGGGUGAGUAACGCGUAUCCAACCUUCCCCUUAGUAGGGCAUAGCCCGGCGAAAGUCGGAUUAAUACCCUAUGUUUUUCCGAUGAGGACAUCUGAGCUGGAAUAAAGAUUUAUCGCUAAGGGAUGGGGAUGCGUCUGAUUAGGUAGUCGGCGGGGUAACGGCCCACCGAGCCUACGAUCAGUAGGGGUUCUGAGAGGAAGGUCCCCCACAUUGGUACUGAGACACGGACCAAACUCCUACGGGAGGCAGCAGUGAGGAAUAUUGGUCAAUGGGCGAGAGCCUGAACCAGCCAAAAGUAGCGUGCAGGAUGACGGCCCUAUGGGUUGUAAACUGCUUUUAUCGGGGGAUAAAGUGAGGGACGCGUCCCUUUUUGUAGGUACCCGAUGAAUAAGGACCGGCUAAUUCCGUGCCAGCCGCCGC
rnacentral:rRNA from 1 species